AGACCAUAGCGAGGACAUUUCAUAAGCAUUUCCUUAAAUCUCUCCCACGACUCAUACAAGGAUUCAUUACCAAAUAGUGAAAAAGUUGUUAUCUCAUUCCCUAAUUU